rnacentral:precursor_RNA from 9 species
UACCAGCAGUCUAACAUUAUCCAUGCCCAGAAUAUACCAGUAGUGCAUCCUACAUGUGACUGUUGCUAUGGUGUAAAUGCAUUAUCUGGUAUAUGACUGGUCCUGGAUACAUACAGCAGAGGUUACC